rnacentral:lncRNA from 1 species
ACAAAAAUUGUUUUUUUUUAAUAUUUAUUUUUUGGUAGAAUAGGUUUGAAGGCAGCAAUGCUACAAGAAUGGUCCUCAAAUACUUCACAAUCAGAAGAGAUUUGAACCUAGGCGCCCUAACAGAACCAUCCGAAGAGGCUGUGUAAUACUGCAGUGCACAGGGAAAUCCUAAGAAUUGCGUUCAAGCAUAGUAGUGAAUAAAUUUGAACUUGGCACGUACUUGGC